UACGUAGGGUGCAAGCGUUAAUCGGAAUUACUGGGCGUAAAGCGUGCGCAGGCGGUUUUGUAAGACAGAGGAGAAAUCCCCGGGCUCAACCUGGGAACUGCCUUUGUGACUGCAAGGCUUGAGUGCGGCAGAGGGGGAUGGAAUUCCGCGUGUAGCAGUGAAAUGCGUAGAUAUGCGGAGGAACACCGAUGGCGAAGGCAAUCCCCUGGGCCUGCACUGACGCUCAUGCACGAAAGCGUGGGGAGCAAACAGG
rnacentral:rRNA from 1 species